CCUACGGGAGGCAGCAGUGAGGAAUAUUGGUCAAUGGCCGCAGGGCUGAACCAGCAAAGCCGCGUGAGGGAUAACGGUCCUAUGGAUUGUAAACCUCUUUUGUCAGGGAGCAAAGGGCGCCACGUGUGGCGCUUAGCGAGUACCUGAAGAAAAAGCAGCGGCUAACUCAGUGCCAGCAGCCGCGGGAAUACGGAGGAUGCGCGCGUUAUCCGGAUGUAUUGGGUUUAAAGGGUGCGCAGGCGGAAUGUCAAGUAAGCGGUAAAAUUUCGGGGCUCAACCCCGUCGUGCAGUUGAAACUGGCGUUCUUGAGUGAGCGAGAAGUAUGCGGAAUGCGUGGUGUAGCGGUGAAAUGCGUAGAUAUCACGCAGAACUCCAGUUGCGAAGGCAGCAUACCGGCGCUCAACUGACGCUGAUGCACGAAAGCGUGGGUAUCGAACAGGAUUAGAUACCCGGGUAGUC
rnacentral:rRNA from 1 species